CCGUAAAAACAACCCCCAUUUCUAAGGUUGACCUCGGAUCAGGUAGGGAUACCCGCUGAACUUAAGCAUAUCAAUAAGCGGAGGAAAAGAAACCAACAGGGAUUGCUCUAGUAACGGCGAGUGAAGCAGCAAUAGCUCAAAUUUGAAAUCUGGCGUCUUCGACGUCCGAGUUGUAAUUUGUAGAGGAUGCUUCUGAGUGGCCACCGACCUAAGUUCCUUGGAACAGGACGUCAUAGAGGGUGAGAAUCCCGUAUGCGGUCGGAAAGGCGCUCUAUACGUAGCUCCUUCGACGAGUCGAGUUGUUUGGGAAUGCAGCUCUAAAUGGGAGGUAAAUUUCUUCUAAAGCUAAAUAUUGGCCAGAGACCGAUAGCGCACAAGUAGAGUGAUCGAAAGAUGAAAAGCACUUUGGAAAGAGAGUUAAAAAGCACGUGAAAUUGUUAAAAGGGAAGGGAUUGCAACCAGACUUGCUCGCGGUGUUCCGCCGGUCUUCUGACCGGUCUACUCGCCGCGUUGCAGGCCAGCAUCGUCUGGUGCCGCUGGAUAAGACUUGAGGAAUGUAGCUCCCUCGGGAGUGUUAUAGCCUCUUGUGAUGCAGCGAGCGCCGGGCGAGGUCCGCGCUUCGGCUAGGAUGCUGGCGUAAUGGUCGUAAUCCGCCCGUCUUGAAACACGGACCAAGGAGUCUAACAUCUAUGCGAGUGUUCGGGUGUCAAACCCCUACGCGUAAUGAAAGUGAACGGAGGUGAGAACCGCAAGGUGCAUCAUCGACCGAUCCUGAUGUCUUCGGAUGGAUUUGAGUAAGAGCAUAGCUGUUGGGACCCGAAAGAUGGUGAACUAUGCCUGAAUAGGGUGAAGCCAGAGGAAACUCUGGUGGAGGCUCGCAGCGGUUCUGACGUGCAAAUCGAUCGUCAAAUUUGGGUAUAGGGCGAAAGACUAAUCGAACCAUCUAGUAGCUGGUUC
rnacentral:rRNA from 1 species